GGGGGGGACUUCGCUAAUCUAAACAACGCUCGUUACUCUGCCUUAAAUUCUCUUCUCAUCGCUCUUCAUCAACCCAAUUGUUACUCUCUUUUCUAUAAUCCUUAUAGAAAAACAGCCAGACCCUUCUCUCCAUUUAAGCUAUUCUCACCCACCCGUCCUGAUAAGAUCAUUCAAGUUACCCCGUCUCUGAAGAAGAGAGCACAGUUGGGUCCACUUCUGCUGCCACUGCCACUGAUGUGUUUAUGCUCACUUACUUGGAGGGGAAUAGUUGUUUAUGAGAGGUGGGUGAGGCUAAUGUUUUGGUCGACCUCUUUCCGGUGGGUAACUUGGAUUUUGGAAUCCCCAGGCUUUAUGAUGCUGCCAAGGAGGUCCUUAAGAACUUCCAGAUAAUGCAGCUCAGUGAUCUUCCUGAAGUGGAUUGCCUAUAGAUCUCUCAAAGCCCAGAUGAUCAUUGCCACUUAAAGACCCAUUCUCGAUCAUCCAAAUGCUCAUCCAUUUUUAGCAAUGUAAGUUUUUCUCGAUUGCAAAUUUUAUCCCUCAUUUCUGGCUGUAGCUAUUGUACAAGCUUAUAUCUUGAGUACAAGCAAUUUAUUCAAAUAGGAAAUGAACAUUAUCUACUGUGUGAUCAAGAGAGAAAAAGAGAUCAGCACAGAGGCUUGCAAAGCAUCUACAUGGACUUAAACUGAUAUCUGUUUUAAGUGACGUUUUUUGCCCUCUCCAUAGGGGGUCUUCUAUGAAAUCUUUAUGCCCAUCCAAAGCAUUACAUCAUUAUGCCAUUCUCAUGGAAGAAAGUAUGAUUUUUCUUUGCUUGUAAGAAGAAUGUCUUAUUUCUAGUGCUUUAAAAAUUGACCGUGCAAGAAGACAAGCUAGAGAAUUGGAAAGUUACUCUUCGCUCUUUCAGUGAAAAUAAAUUCCAGGUUGUUUCUCUUUGUGUGCACGUCUUUGUGUAUCGCAUGCCUGCUUGCUAAGAGUGCCUUCAUGUGUGCGUGCAUUACUGCAUAUAUGCAUGCUUGUCAAUUGAGGCAGGCUAAACACUUGCCAAAAGCAUAGAGUAACUUUUCUUGAUUGGAGUCUUUUCUAUUGUCAGAUUAGCAGAGCAUGGCUUAUGGUUCCAUUUUCAGAUUAGAAAACUAUGGUUAUGUCGCAUAAACAGGAUGGUGUUUAGGCUUCUAACUCUUUCCAGUGCAUGUGUUCUCUCUACUCUGAACCUUCUUCUUGACAUUGUUAUGACCAGGCUAUGCACUGUUACUUUUAAACCAGUUUGAAGCUUUGCAACCGGGCAUGCAGUGCCAUGAUACAAAACAAGCUGUCUUUUCUUAGUGAUGAUGAUUUAAGGCAUCUCCACAUUCAAACCCAAACAAACCUCAGAUCUUUCAGGUCACAUAUCUAGAACCUGGUCAGAGUUUUGAAAUUAAAGCUAAAAAUGGUUCUAAAGUCGGAGUUAAAGUUCCUGCAGGGCCAGUUUUAGGUCCUCCUUGGCAGCAUCAUGAGAAGGGUUGGAGGUUUUCGUGCUUGAAGAGAACUACUAAUUACUUGCAUUGCCCAUGGUUUAGUAUCUAUUUUAGUAUUUACUAACAUUCUGGUGUUUUGUAUGCUUUGCACUCGGAUACCUCAUCAAUUCUCCACAAGGUCAAUUAACACUCUACUAUGAGCCUCACUGUGUAUACAACAAGGAUUUUCUUGAGAAGGAACGUGCCAACAUUGUUAUCACACUCAUCAUAAAACAGCUUCUGCAAAAUUUACUUUGGCUUCUGGACUAGAAGAUGCAGUUCAGCUUGCAAAGUUGGUGCAGGCCAAGUAUUCAACCUGUUCGUUGAUUUUUGCUGCUUCAUUUAUAUGCUUUCUGAUAACAUUUUUCUAUCAACUUCCUGUCUUUAUUUUCUGGGUUCAUUGCACCAAUGAAAAAUGGAGACCUCGAUAGCAAAGGGUUUCUUGCCACAAUCAUUCAAGGUUUGCUUUCUUUUAUCUAACCUCGUCAGUUUCCAUUGAAAUAAAAUUAGGAUGGGGGUACAUAAAUUUGGACACUGCAAACACGAUAUGGGAAUUACUAUGGUUAGCGCUCCUAAAUUGAAAUUCUUGCACAACACAGAGGAAGAAUUUGAAAAGAACAACCAAAUGAUAGAGGGAUGAACUAUACGUGUAAAAUCUAUUGUAUAGAAUGUGAUAUAAAAAAAUGUUAUUUUAUACGUGUAAGCUUGUUCCCAA